UCACCUUCCUCUCAUUUCCUGCUCAUUUCAUUUCUGUAUAUACUCUACUGCAUUCUCUGUUAUUCUUGCGACUCCAAGUUAUUUUUUCUAUGGUUUCUUGGUUUCUUCCUUCCUUCUGUUUUUUUUCUUCGUUUGCCUUUUUGUUAUGACCACAAGCCUGUUUUUGACUUUGACCUGUAAAGUUGGAUUUGUUAUUCAAAGGAAUUCACUCCCAGCAGCCUCUCUAACUCCAUUUGGGGGAAAAAAAUAGGCCUACUUACUUAAGUUACUGAGGCUGUGUACUUGCUGUGCGUGUGUCUGCGUGUGUGUGUUCAUACCUGGACCAGUGGACUGGCUGGCUCUGACGCCCCAUUGCUUCACGGCAUUUUGGGGAAUAAAAAAGAGGAUAAAGUAAAUCACACUGACGAUGCUCUCAAUCAAGCUGAUGACAGCAUGGCCUGAAAAAUAUCACUUCAAACCAAGAUCAUCAUGACUAUCAUGAUAGGCUGUAUGAACCUACAGCCUGGGCUAGGAUGAAAUCAGCCCCUUCCUCACGUCUUCAUACCAUUCUGUGUAUUUAUCUUACAACCAUUUGUAGUGGUGUUACACUUGGCUCCACAAACAUCCAAAAUAAUCUGCUUUAACAGCUAAUAAUGUGAGGUGGAUACCAAAAACAAAAGCUUAUAUUGAUGUCUUUUUAUUUUUGAAAGAUGUGGGGCCGUGUUAGUUCAUCGAGCCAGCCACUCCUGAUUCACUAGCUAUUUAAUUUAACAAUACUGCCACUGUUUUAUAUACCGUUUCAGAAAUUGCAAUUUCUUCACAACAGAUUAAAUUAAUGUAGGUGCAUAGCGCAAUACUGAUUUCAGUUAACUGCAUUAACAUGUACUUGUCCUGUAUUUGUGCAAUUCAUUAGCCCUACUAUUCAUACAUCCUGUAUCUUUGCUGUUUUUUUUAACCUUUUUGAACCAGAUAUCAUAAAGUGUGUAAUUUCCAAAAUUUCUGAGCUACUGUGUAUAUUUGGCUACCAUCAUAUGGCUUUUCUCCAGAUGCUCUAGUUUCCUCCCACUGUCUAAAAACAUGCAGGUCGGCUGAUUGGCUAUGAUAAAUUGCCUCAGGUGUGAAUGAUUGUGUGAAUAUGUAUGUGAAUGUUGCCCUGUGAUGGACUGGCAUUCCACCCAGGGUGAAUUCUCCCACCAUGUGCCCAGUGGGCUCCAGAUGCAUCUGACUGAGACAAAGCAGUUAAAACAGCUUUUUUGGGGAAAACAGAAUUCCAGAAAAUAUUCUAUAUGAGACUCAUUCAUAUAUUAAUAUAAACACACAGACACUUGAUUUGUAUAUAUGUUUUAUACUUGUAUAUAUGAAACCCCUAGAAACCC